GCCUUUCAACGUUGAUAGGACCAAAACUGUAACAUGAAUUAAUAAAAUUAAAUAACAACAAAAACAUCGCUAUUUACCAAGAACAAACAUUUUAGGAAUGGUACGUACGACCAGAAUUCAUGCUUCGUGUUUCGUAUUAAUUAAUAAUAAUAAUAUUAUACGAUGUCGUCUAGAUCUCGAAGCGGGAGUGGCGCUGGCGAUCGAGCUGGUCGAGAAAAUUGGAAACCGAUCUUUUGUUGUCAGUUUGUUCUAUUAUAUUUUUUAAAUAUAUAUUAAAGCAAUAAUGCGAUUUUUAAGAAUAAUAAUUGAGAUAA
rnacentral:lncRNA from 1 species